UACGAAGGGGGCUAGCGUUGUUCGGAAUUACUGGGCGUAAAGCGCACGUAGGCGGAUUGUUAAGUGAGGGGUGAAAUCCCAGGGCUCAACCCUGGAACUGCCUUUCAUACUGGCAAUCUCGAGUCCGAGAGAGGUGAGUGGAAUUCCGAGUGUAGAGGUGAAAUUCGUAGAUAUUCGGAGGAACACCAGUGGCGAAGGCGGCUCACUGGCUCGGUACUGACGCUGAGGUGCGAAAGCGUGGGGAGCAAACAGGG
rnacentral:rRNA from 1 species